ACACUUGUAGCUUAGUUGGAUAGAGCAACAGCCUUCUAAGCUGUCGGUCGUGGGUUCGAAUCCCAUCAAGUGUA
rnacentral:tRNA from 1 species